UCAGGGUUAUAUCCUCUUGUUGGAUUGAUCACUUUAAUAUUAUGUGGUGACCAUUCUUGUCUCUUGUGAUAGCCUUCAUUUUGAAGUCUAUUUUGUCUGAUAUAAGUAUUGCUACCCCAGCUUUCUUUUCCUUUCCAUUUGCCUGAAAGAUAUUUUU